rnacentral:rRNA from 1 species
AGCGAACGCUGGCGGCAGGCUUAACACAUGCAAGUCGAACGCCCCGCAAGGGGAGUGGCAGACGGGUGAGUAACACGUGGGAACGUACCCUUUGGUUCGGAAUAACUUGGGGAAACUCAAGCUAAUACCGGAUAAGCCCUUAUGGGGAAAGGUUUACUGCCGAAGGAUCGGCCCGCGUCUGAUUAGCUAGUUGGUGAGGUAACGGCUCACCAAGGCGACGAUCAGUAGCUGGUCUGAGAGGAUGAUCAGCCACACUGGGACUGAGACACGGCCCAGACUCCUACGGGAGGCAGCAGUGGGGAAUAUUGGACAAUGGGGGCAACCCUGAUCCAGCCAUGCCGCGUGAGUGAUGAAGGCCUUAGGGUUGUAAAGCUCUUUUACCCGGGACGAUAAUGACUGUACCGGGGGAAUAAGCCCCGGCUAACUUCGUGCCAGCAGCCGCCGUAA